GAGUUUGAAGGUGAGAAGAACCACAUCGUUGCACGCAACAAGUCCUUACAUCAUAAAGUUGAAGGUGAGUAAUCAUGCAUGCAGUUUUUGAGUUGUCUAUUGUAUGUGGUCUAUCCUUUGACUACCCGUUGCUAUUUUGUAGAGUUGAAAAGUCAGGAGACAAUGUUGAAGGACACAAUCAUUGACUGGCAAAAUGCGCCGAGAUAGUGAUGUUGGCCUAGUUGGGGCCAUG
rnacentral:lncRNA from 1 species